CCUACGGGAGGCAGCAGUAGGGAAUUUUCGUCAAUGGGCGCAAGCCUGAACGAGCAAUGCCGCGUGAACGAGGAAGGUCUUCGGAUCGUAAAGCUCUGUUGAAGGGGAAAAAGAGCGGAGAGAGGAAAUGCUUUCUGAUUGAUAUUACCCUUCGAGGAAGUCACGGCUAACUACGUGCAGCAGCCGCGGUAAUACGUAGGGGGCGAGCGUUAUCCGGAAUGAGUGGGCGUAAAGGGUGGGUAGGCGGCCUGGUUAGUCUGGGGGAAAAGGUAGCGGCUCAACCGGGACAGGCGUUGGAGACUGGCGGGCUAGAGAGCAGGAGAGGGCGGUGGAACUCCAUGUGUAGCGGGAAAAUGCGUAGAUAUAUGGAAGAACACCAGUGGCGAAGGCGGCCGCCUGGCCUGUUACUGACGCUGAGGCACGAAAGCGUGGGGAGCAAAUAGGAUUAGAUACCCCAGUAGUC
rnacentral:rRNA from 1 species